AGGAGUUUGAAUCGUGCCAAGUGUUUUGUGAGAAUUUCGUCAAAAAUUUGGUACAAACAUGUGUUAGCAACCACGAGAAAACAAUGAAAUUAGAAAAUUUAUAUCCGCAAAUAUUUCAAGAAAUGGUACAAGAUUAUGUGCGACAAAUGAGGAACUUUGACACAUUUGUUGAGAAGAGCCUUGAAGAUAUUUGAUGUUCGCCAUUGUAAACCAGAGUAUAUUUUUAUAUCAUAUCGUAUGUUCUACAAAACAUUGUAUGCAGUAACUGUAGUGCUGGCACACCGCUAAACUAGAGGGCAAUAACACACACGGGGGGACAUCAUGCAUAUAAGGUAGCGGAAAAUUGGCUUUGGUUUAGGAGGGGGGCUAAACAAUCUCUA